CGCCCUCUUUCUUUACCGGGCUUUGAAAUUGUUGCAGUGGCAGAUUUUCGACAUUUCGCGUACCUUUCAUUCAAAAUCAUGCAAAUGGGACGAGAUUAUCCUGGUUAAUGUAACCGCGAAUUGGAUGAUGGAACUGUAGGGUGAGUACCAUUAUUUAUUAAGUCUGCUUAAGUAGAUCUAAUAUCGAAGAAACGUGAUAUUCGUGAUAAUCAAUGUUUGGUUUACUCGUUAAUUAAAAUUGAUUAUGAAACAGUGCUAAUUAUUCACGAUAAUUGCUUUUAUACCGUCUGAAAGGAAAUGAAAUGAAAUGAAAUGAAACUCGAUAUUGAUAAUAUUUACUAAAAGUAAUUUAUAAAGAUGAAGUAAAUUCAUAAUUCAUAAUUAAAAAAGAAAAAUUUUAUUUCAAUAUUUUAUUUAAAAUUACUUAUUCAAACGAAUCUUGUAUCAUUUUAAAUCAAAUUUGAAUAUUUUUUAUAUUAUUUUUAUUUAGAAUUUAAUAGAAUUUAAUAGUUUAAUUUUAUUAAUCAGGAUUACAAUAUUUUGUUUUCAAUCUUAACUCAAAGUUUUAACCGGAAGAAUUAUUUUAAACCUUUUCCGCGUUUAAAAUUUUUAAUUAACUAACUUUGCACCAUAUAAACCACUUCCAGUUAAUCCAUAAUAUUAUCUUGAACUAUUAUAACAAUCUUCAAUAUGCGCCUCAACUUUGAUCACUAUAGUUAUCCAAGCUUCGACCAUUUACACCCUCCAGAUAAUUUCGAAACAACUAUUCGCAAUAACAUUGCUCUUUUAAGAUUGCUCUUUUAAAGUAAAAAAAAAAAAAAAAAAAAAAAAAAA